rnacentral:lncRNA from 7 species
GAUAAAUCGUGUGCACCACCUGCUGCCACCUCCGCUGGCUCCGAGCGUGGGAUACCUGGGAGGAGGUCGGCGCUGCCACGCUGAGGCUUGGCAGAGGGAUGGGAGGAAGGAAGGAGGAAGAGCCCCGUGGAAGGGCUGUGGCUUUCGGCAGCCUUGUGAAAAUCUGGGCCGGUUUGGGGGGGGAUUAAAGCCCUCAGCAUUCAGGCUCCGGGCGCAGGAAACAGCAGCUUUUCUUCUGGCUCGAGUUGGAAAGACACGGCCCCUCUGUUCUGCUGAAAGCCCCUGGUUGCUGAAUGACCCCCGGCCCUGAAUGAAGUGCCUCUCAAUUAAAAGUUUCCCAUUGACGCCGCCUGAAUGAGAACCUCGCCGUGGAAUUCACCCCGCCUGAAUGGCAUCAAAUAUGACGGGGCCAAUAGAUUUCCCACAAUAUUUGUACACCU